rnacentral:rRNA from 1 species
AGGUAGCGAAAUUCCUUGUCAGGUAAGUUCUGACCCGCACGAAUGGCGUAAUGAUUUGGGCACUGUCUCAACAGCCCGCCCGGCGAAAUUGUAGUACUGGUGAAGAUGCCAGUUACCCGCAACUAGACGGAAAGACCCCAUGGAGCUUUACUGCAGCUUAAUACUGAAAUUCGGUAGUACAUGUACAGGAUAGGUGGGAGACUGAGAAAUACAGGCGUCAGCUUGUAUGGAGUCGCUGUUGGGAUACCACUCUUGUACUGCUGGGUUUCUAACCUGCGGCCGUGAAUCCGGUCGGGGGACACUGUUAGGCGGGCAGUUUGACUGGGGCGGUCGCCUCCAAAAGAGUAACGGAGGCGCUCAAAGGUUGGCUCAGCACGGACGGAAAUCGUGCAAUGAGUGUAAACGCAUAAGCCAGCCUAACUGCGAGACCGACGGGUCGAGCAGUAACGAAAGUUGGAGUUAGUGAUCCGGUGGUAUGUGAGUGGAAAUGCCAUCGCUCAACGGAUAAAAGUUACCCUGGGGAUAACAGGCUGAUCUCCCCCAAGAGUCCACAUCGACGGGGAGGUUUGGCACCUCGAUGUCGGCUCAUCGCAUCCUGGGGCUGAAUUCGGUCCCAAGGGUUUGGCUGUUCGCCAAUUAAAGCGGCACGCGAGCUGGGUUCAGAACGUCGUGAGACAGUUCGGUCCCUAUCUGUUGCGGGCGUAAGAGAUUUGAAGGGAGCUGUCCUUAGUACGAGAGGACCGGGAUGGACGUACCUCUGGUGCACCAGUUGUCCUGCCAAGGGCAUAGCUGGGUAGCUAUGUACGGACGAGAUAAACGCUGAAAGCAUCUAAGCGUGAAACUCCCCCUAAGAUGAGAUCUCUCAUCCUUCAAGGAGUAAGGACCCAGAAAGACGAUCUGGUUGAUAGGCCGAAGGUGGAAGCGCAGUAAUGUGUGCAGCUGAUCGGUACUAAUAGUCCGAGGGCUUGACCUA